rnacentral:rRNA from 1 species
GUGGGGAAUAUUGGACAAUGGGCGCAAGCCUGAUCCAGCCAUGCCGCGUGAGUGAUGAAGGCCCUAGGGUUGUAAAGCUCUUUCGCCAGGGACGAUAAUGACGGUACCUGGAUAAGAAGCCCCGGCUAACUUCGUGCCAGCAGCCGCGGUAAUACGAAGGGGGCUAGCGUUGUUCGGAUUUACUGGGCGUAAAGCGCACGUAGGCGGAUCUUUAAGUCAGAGGUGAAAUCCCAAGGCUCAACCUUGGAACUGCCUUUGAUACUGGGGAUCUCGAGUCCGGGAGAGGUGAGUGGAACUGCGAGUGUAGAGGUGAAAUUCGUAGAUAUUCGCAAGAACACCAGUGGCGAAGGCGGCUCACUGGCCCGGAACUGACGCUGAGGUGCGAAAGCGUGGGGAGCAAACAGG